UACGGAGGGUGCAAACGUUGUCCGGAUUUAUUGGGUGUAAAGCGCGCGUAGACGGUUUUGUAAGUCAGAUGUGAAAUCCCUGGGCUCAACCUGGGAACUGCAUUUGAAACUGCAUGGCUAGAGUAUGGAAGAGGGAAGUGGAAUUUCCGGUGUAGCGGUGAAAUGCGUAGAUAUCGGAAGGAACACCAGUGGCGAAAGCGACUUCCUGGUCCAAUACUGACGUUCAUGUGCGAAAGCGUGGGGAGCAAACAGG
rnacentral:rRNA from 1 species